rnacentral:rRNA from 1 species
GACAGAGGGUGCAAACGUUGUUCGGAAUUACUGGGCGUAAAGCGCGUGUAGGCGGCUAUGUAAGUCGGGCGUGAAAUCCCACGGCUCAACCGUGGAAGUGCACCCGAAACUGCGUAGCUAGAGUCCUGGAGAGGAAGGUGGAAUGCUUGGUGUAGAGGUGAAAUUCGUAGAUAUCAAGCGGAACACCGGUGGCGAAGGCGGCCUUCUGGACAGUGACUGACGCUGAGACGCGAAAGCGUGGGGAGCGAACAGG